rnacentral:rRNA from 1 species
UAAUACAGAGGGUGCGAGCGUUAAUCGGAAUUACUGGGCGUAAAGCGCACGUAGGUGGCUUUGCAAGUCGAUUGUGAAAUCCCCGGGCUUAACCUGGGAACUGCAGUCGAGACUGCUUUGCUUGAGUAUGGGAGAGGGAGGUGGAAUUUCCGGUGUAGCGGUGAAAUGCGUAGAUAUCGGAAGGAACAUCAGUGGCGAAGGCGACCUCCUGGACCAAUACUGACACUCAAGUGCGAAAGCGUGGGGAGCAAACAGGAUUAGAUACCCUGGUAGUCCACGCCAUAAACGAUGAGAACUGGAUGUCGGAGGGGUCUGCCCUUCGGUGUCGUAGCUAACGCGUUAAGUUCUCCGCCUGGGGAGUACGGCCGCAAGGUUG